rnacentral:rRNA from 1 species
ACUGCUCAGUAACACGUGAUCAACUUACCCUAUAGAGAAAAAUAACCUCGGGAAACUGAGGAUAAUGUUUCAUAAUUGAAUUGGCUUGGAAAAGUUUUUCAAUGAAAAGGAUAAAAAUAAUGGUUUUUAUCUGCUAUAGGAUAGGAUCGUGUUCGAUUAUGGUUGUUGGUGAGAUAAUGGCUCACCAAGCCGAUAAUCGAUAGGGGCCGUGAGAGCGGGAGCCCCGAGAUGGGUACUGAGACAACGACCCAGGCCUUACGAGGCGCAGCAGGCGCGGAACCUCCGCAAUACACGAAAGUGUGACGGGGUUACCCAAAGUGUUCAAUAGAACUGUGGUAGGUGAGUAAUGUCCCCUACUAGAAAGGAGAGGGCAAGGCUGGUGCCAGCCGCCGCGGUAAAACCAGCUCUUCAAGUGGUCGGGAUAAUUAUUGGGCUUAAAGUGUCCGUAGCCGGUUUAGUAAGUUCCUGGUAAAAUCGGGUAGCUUAACUAUCUGCAUGCUAGGAAUACUGCUAUACUAGAGGGCGGGAGAGGUCUGAGGUACUACAGGGGUAGGGGUGAAAUCUUAUAAUCCUUGUAGGACCACCAGUGGCGAAGGCGUCAGACUGGAACGCGCCUGACGGUGAGGGACGAAAGCCAGGGGAGCGAACCGGAUUAGAUACCCGGGUAGUCCUGGCCGUAAACGAUGCAUACUAGGUGAUGGUACGGCCAUGAGCCGUAUCAGUGCCGUANGGAAACCGCUAAGUGUGCCGCCUGGGAAGUACGGUCGCAAGGCUAAAACUUAAAGGAAUUGGCGGGGGAGCACCACAAGGGGUGAAGCCUGCGGUUCAAUUGGACUCAACGCCGGG